rnacentral:rRNA from 1 species
GUCAAAUCAUCAUGCCCCUUAUGACCUGGGCUACACAACGUGCUACAAUGGUUGGUACAACGAGUUGCGAGUCGGUGACGGCGAGCUAAUCUCUUAAAGCCAAUCUCAGUUCGGAUUGUAGGCUGCAACUCGCCUACAUGAAGUCGGAAUCGCUAGUAAUCGCGGAUCAGCACGCCGCGGUGAAUACGUUCCCGGGCCUU